UACGUAGGGUGCAAGCGUUAAUCGGAAUUACUGGGCGUAAAGCGUGCGCAGGCGGCUUUGCAAGACAGAUGUGAAAUCCCCGGGCUUAACCUGGGAGCUGCAUUUGUGACUGCAUGGCUGGAGUGCGGCAGAGGGGGAUGGAAUUCCGCGUGUAGCAGUGAAAUGCGUAGAUAUGCGGAGGAACACCGAUGGCGAAGGCAAUCCCCUGGGCCUGCACUGGACGCUCAUGCCACGAAA
rnacentral:rRNA from 1 species